rnacentral:rRNA from 1 species
AGAAACCUUUGCAAUGUGCGAAAGCACGACAAGGUUAAUCCGAGUGUCUCCUGCUAAAGGAGUCUUUUGUCAGUUGUAGAAUCACUGGUGAAUAAGGGGUGGGCAAGUUCUGGUGUCAGCCGCCGCGGUAAAACCAGCACCUCGAGUGGUCAGGAGGUUUAUUGGGCCUAAAGCAUCCGUAGCCGGUUGCAUAAGUUUUCGGUUAAAUCUAUGCGCUUAACGUAUAGGCCGCCGAAAAUACUGUGCAGCUAGGGAGUGGGAGAGGUACACGGUACUCGAUAGGAAGGGGUAAAAUCCUUUGAUCUAUUGAAGACCACCUGUGGCGAAGGCGGUGUACCAGAACACGUUCGACGGUGAGGGAUGAAAGCUGGGGGAGCAAACCGGAUUAGGUACCCGAGUAGUCCCAGCUGUAAACGAUGCAGACUCGGUGAUGCAUUGGCUUGUGGCCAAUGCAGUGCCGCAGGGAAGCCGUUAAGUCUGCCGCCUGGGAAGUACGUACGCAAGUAUGAACUUAAAGGAAUUGGCGGGGGAGCACCACAAGGGGUGAAGCCUGCGUUCAUUGGAGUCACGCC